AUGCUCAGUCCUAGCGGGAGGUCACACCCCAUCCCUGUGCCCACCAUGUCCCAGCAAGGGCUGUCCCACAGCAGUGGGAAGACAUCAGACAGAAGAGAGCAGACAGAAAACAUCAGUAAAGCACACCCUUCAGGCAGCCCAACACAGGAAUUUGAGGACUGCAUAGUUUUAAAAACACAAAGUCAAACAUCAUUUCGGCUAGGUUUGCACUGUGGCUCCUUCCCACAGGCAGAGGGAGCCAUGGCUGGCAGGGGGGAUCAGGGCAUUGAAAAGAAACCCCCGUUGUGUUUGGCAGCAGGACCCUGGCCAGGCUCUGCUAUGGACACCACAUCUCUCAGCAUCUCACUUCAGGUCACAGAGCUGUCAAAGCAGCGUGGUGACAUCUUAAUAUGCUGAAAAGCACAGAGGUGCUGCCAAUGUUUCCCCUUCACUCCAGCCCUCUGACACAUCUUUAUUGGCUCAAAAACAGAAAUCAGCCUUUCCUCUCCUGGGAGCAAGGCUAAUCCUUAUGAGCCACUUGCCUCUCUCCAGCUCACUAUAGAUGUAUA
rnacentral:lncRNA from 12 species